rnacentral:rRNA from 1 species
GACGAACGCUGGCGGCGUGCUUAACACAUGCAAGUCGAACGGAAAGGCCCUGCUUUUGUGGGGCGCUCGAGUGGCGAACGGGUGAGUAACACGUGAGUAACCUGCCCUUGACUUUGGGAUAACUUCAGGAAACUGGGGCUAAUACCGGAUAGGAGCUCCUGCUGCAUGGUGGGGGUUGGAAAGUUUCGGCGGUUGGGGAUGGACUCGCGGCUUAUCAGCUUGUUGGUGGGGUAGUGGCUUACCAAGGCUUUGACGGGUAGCCGGCCUGCGAGGGUGACCGGCCACAUUGGGACUGAGAUACGGCCCAGACUCCUACGGGAGGCAGCAGUGGGGAAUAUGGCACAAUGGGCGGAAGCCUGAUGCAGCAACGCCGCGUGCGGGAUGACGGCCUUCGGGUUGUAAACCGCUUUCGCCUGUGACGAAGCGUGAGUGACGGUAAUGGGUAAAGAAGCACCGGCUAACUACGUG